CUGUUCUUUCAAGCAAGCCAUGGCCGUGCUCGCGUCCGCGCUGCCGGUUGUAGCCCUGCUCGAGUCCGCCGCCCGGCCAUCAGGCCCAGGCCCUUGGCUCCGCCGCUGGCUAGCCAUCCCGCCGCUGCCGACUAGCCAUCUCCGCCCACCCCUGGCGCAACUCCGGCCGCGCACCCCGGCCGCAGCUUCGGCCGCCCCAGCCCCCAGCACGCGCGCCCACCGGAAGUUUUUCGGGAGCGAGUUCGUCCUGGAAUCCGUUCCUCAACCAAACAGCACCAAGGUUGGAGCCGCUCCAUUCCAUUCUCCUCCAUCCCACCAACCGCUGAGCAGCUGAGCGCUAGCAGCUGAGCGGCGGCACGAGCGCGAGCAGCCGAGCGAGGCGCGCGGCUGCUGCGCUAAUGGCACGGCCGUUCUCGUCGCUGGCGCACUCCUCGUAUCGCCGCAGAAUCGUCGAGUGCAAAGCUGUGGCUUACUCCUCGCGGCUCCCUUCCCGCGCUAGGCCCCCCGCACGCCCCCGUAUCGCUGCCAGCUCCAACAACACCCCAGCGCAUGGAAUUGAUAGUAGCAUCAUUACCAUUCAGACUAUGACGCGGUGGGAGACCCUGAACCACAUGGCCUACAAAUUUGGGAGCCUUGGCAAGUCUGAUGGAAAACUGGCCUUGAAGAUACUGAAUUCUAUUGUGGAGCGAUCAGGUUUAGACCGAAUUACCUACAUUUACUGUAUGGCUGUUCGAAUUCUCAUCCAGGCUCAAAUGCAUUCGCAAGCAAUGUCAGUGUUGAAGCAUCUUGCUGUGACGGGCUUCUCCUGCACUGCUAUUUUUACCUCCCUCUUGCGGAUCAUUUCACGUUUUGAUUCCACCAAUCAUGUCGUUUUUGAACUCCUUAUCAAAGCAUAUGUCAAGGAAAGAAAAGUGCUAGAUGCAGCUGUGGCAGUUUUCUUUAUGGAUGACUGUGGAUUUAAGGCUUCACCUGUUGCUUGCAAUUCCAUCCUUAAGGCUCUUGUGGAGGAAGGGGAAUCAAAGUAUGUUUGGUUGUUCUUGAGAGAGAGUUUGGCCCGUAAGUUUCCUUUGGAUGUUACCACUUGCAAUAUUCUUCUGAAUUCCCUAUGCACCAAUGGUGAAUUUAGAAAGGCUGAAGAUAUGCUUCAGAAGAUGAAGAGUUGUUGCCUAUCAAAUUCUGCCACUUAUAAUACAAUACUACAUUGGUAUGUUAAGAAGGGAAGAUUUAAGGCUGCCUUGUGUGUUCUAGAAGAUAUGGAGAGGGAUAGUAUACAGGCAGAUAUAUAUACCUACAACAUCAUGAUAGAUAAAUUAUGUAGAAUAAAGAGGAGUGCGCGUGCUUUCCUUUUGCUCAAGAGAAUGAGAAAAGAUGACUUAACACCUGAUGAAUGUACCUACAAUACUUUGAUCAAUGGGUUUUUUGGUGAAGGUAAGAUAAAUCAUGCUCGCUGUGUCUUUAAUCAUAUGCUGAGACAAACUUUGGUCCCAAGUGUAGCUACUUACACUACAAUGAUUGAUGGGUACUGCCGAAACAGGAGAAUUGAUAAGGCCCUAAGUGUUCUGUCGGAAAUGGAAAUUACUGGUGUCAUGCCAAGCGAACUAACUUAUAGUGCUUUGUUGAAUGGUUACUGCAAAGUUUCCAUGCUGGGACCUGCUCUAGAUCUUAUGGUUGAUCUGAAAUCAAGAGGUAUAACCAUCAAUAAGACGAUGUGUACUAUUCUCAUUGAUGGUUUCUGUCAAGUCGGUGAGAUUUCCAAGGCUAAACAAAUUUUGAAGAGUAUGCUUGAGGAUGGAAUUGAUCCAGAUGUCGUCACUUAUUCAGCAUUGAUCAAUGGUAUGUGCAGGAUGGCUAAGAUGCAUGAAACAAAAGAAAUUUUGUCAAGGAUGCAGAAAAGUGGAAUUUUACCUAAUGACGUGCUAUAUACAACUCUGAUCUGUUACUAUUGUAAGGCAGGGUAUGUCAAGGUAGCACUAAAGCAUUUUGUGGACAUUUAUCGAAGGGGUCUAGUUGCCAAUCCAGUUAUCCAUAAUGCAUUAUUACGUGCUUUCUAUAGAGAGGGAAUGAUUACAGAGGCUGAACACUUCAGACAAUACAUGUCUAGGAUGAAUAUAUCAUUUAAUUCUGUCUCCUUUAACUGCAUAAUUGAUAGUUAUUGCCACAGAGGUAAAAUAGUUGAGGCAUUUUCAGUUUAUGAUGAUAUGGUUAGAUAUGGCCAUUCUCCAAAUGUUUGCACAUAUCAGAAUUUGCUUAGAGGAUUAUGUCAAGGAGGCCACUUGGUACAAGCAAAGCAGUUUAUGUUCUGUCUUCUUGACAUACCUUCUGCUGUUGAUGAGAAAACUUUCAAUGCACUACUUCUUGGGAUUUGCAAAUAUGGAACCCUAGAUGAAGCUUUGGAUAUAUGCGAGAAAAUGGUAAAAAACAACUGUUUACCUGAUAUCCAUACCUACACCAUUCUUCUCAGUGGUUUUUGCAGGAAAGGUAAGAUUUUGCCUGCGUUAGUCAUGUUGCAGAUGAUGUUGGAGAAAGGAGUAGUCCCUGAUACUGUUGCAUAUACCUGCUUGCUGAAUGGGUUGAUCAAUGAAGGCCAAGUGAAGGCUGCUUCUUAUGUUUUCCAGGAGAUCAUAUGCAAGGAAGGCCUGUAUGCAGAUUGUAUUGCCUAUAAUUCAUUGAUGAAUGGGUACCUCAAGGGUGGAAAUGUGAAUACUAUAAAAAGGAUGAUGUCUGAUAUGUAUCAGAAUGAGGUUUAUCCAAACUCUGCUAGCUAUAACAUACUUAUGCAUGGGUAUGUCAAGAGGGGACAAUUUUCAAAGUCCUUAUAUCUGUACAAAUAUAUGGUGAGGAAAGGAAUCAGGCCAGACAAUGUUACAUAUCGCUUGCUCAUUCUUGGGCUUUCUGAGUGUGGGUUGAUUGACAUUGCAGUUAAGUUCUUGGAGAAGAUGGUCUUAGAAGGCAUUUUCCCUGAUAAGUUAGUUUUUGAUAUAUUGAUUACAUCUUUCAGUGAGAAAUCCAAGAUGCAUAAUGCACUACGACUUUUCAAUUGUAUGAAGUGUUUACAUUUGUCACCCAGCAGUAAAACUUUUAGUGCCAUGAUCAAUGGAUUGAUCAGAAAAAAUUACUUGGACCAGAGUCACGAAGUUUUACAUGAGAUGUUACAAGUAGGGCUUCAACCAAACCAUACACACUAUAUUGCAUUGGUCAACGCAAAAUGUCGGGUUGGUGAGAUUGAUAGAGCGUUCAGGCUAAAAGAAGAAAUGAAAGCUAUUGGCAUUGUGCCUGCUGAAGUUGCUGAGAGCUCAAUUAUUAGAGGACUUUGUAGAUGUGGAAAACUUGAGGAGGCAGUCAUAGUUUUCAGUAAUAUGAUGCGUUCAGGAAUGGUGCCAACUGUUGCUACUUUCACUACUCUAAUGCACAGUCUUUGCAAAGAAUCCAAGAUUGCUGAUGCUUUGCACUUGAAGAGGCUGAUGGAGUUGUGUAGAUUGAAGGUUGAUGUUGUCAGUUAUAAUGUUCUAAUUACUGGUUUAUGCAAAGACAAGCAUAUCUCUGAUGCACUAGAUCUUUAUGGAGAGAUGAAAUCUAAGGGUCUUUGGCCGAACGUUACUACCUAUAUCACACUCACUGGAGCUAUGUAUUCGACAGGGAGAAUGCAGAAUGGAGAGGAACUACUGGAGGAUAUAGAAGAAAGGGGUCUUAUUCCGGCGUUUAAGCAGCUUGAAAAUCUUGAAAGACGGAUGGAGGAUGCAAUUAGAAGGCUGAACAUGAUAAGAAGAUGCAGAAAGGAAGUGACUUUUAGAGGGGUAGAGCUACUAGCUGUAGAUCCUAAACCCGUGUGUAGUGCUGCUAGUGAUUGUAACACCACUGAAACACUGCAAUGUAAAGGAAUUUGAGCAUUUGACCAAUAUUGUUGGUACAAAACUAUUGGUAUCUUUUCUGAGUAGUGCUUGUGAUGCCUUACAUUGUUGUGUUCCUCCACUGAGAGAUCCAUGGAUCCAUCUCUAGAUAUGUUGAAUAUGUGAUUUUCCUUAAACAGCUAAUUCAGAAAUACAAAAUUACCCAGGGAGGAAGAGGAACCUCACAUAUAUAUUUCAGUGGAUCCUGGGGGCAGGUAAAUGGGAUUAUGGGUGCUGAUGCAUGACAUUAGCAGCUCAAGCCUCGCUCAAUCCACAUCACCACCGGGACGCUGCUGUUGAUCAUCACUAUGCUUCGGUCAGCCAACUCCUGCCCUCUCUCUCUUACUCUCGCUCUGAUUUCCCCCAAACUAAAAUUUGGUUCUUGGUCUGUGCAAACUGAAAGUUCUGGACAACUGUGCCCCCUCCCUCCAAGCUCCGGCAGCGGCACCGGCACAUGCUCCCUUCCACGGCGGCCCCUGCCCCUGCAAUUUUCAUCUGUCUUCUAUCCAUCAGGUGCUUUCUAGAUCAGGCUGCCCGUAUGUGCUCGUGCAAGUAAACAAGUAGCCACCCUCCAAUUCUUGUUUAUUUUUGCCACUUGCUUGUACUGAAAUUAUCUGUUAAUUAAGAUAUGGCUAGCUGGAUGUGCUAUGCACUGGUCUGUGGAUUAGGUUUGCUGAUCUUGAUGAUUCAUUGUCUGUGAUUGCUCCCUUCAAAGCAUGCUCCUAUGCUGCUAGUUGGUUACAAUUUAUAUGCUAUAUAUAUUCUUGGUUGAAAUCUAGUCAAAUUUAUGCAUUUUACCUGCGUGUGAUUUCUAAUUGGUUUAUGGCCAAGGAGUUCUGGGUCUUCUUUAGUCUCUAGCAGCUGUCUUUUGCUUUUGUUUGUGUGGACUAUUCCAGAUGCAACUAUGUGUUCCUUCAUCUAUUCUAAAUGCCUGUACUGCUAUUCUGGAUUCAACUGUGUUCGGAGCACAAUUUAUAAAAAGAAAAAAAAAAGUACUAAAUUGUGGACAGAGUCAGAAAUCACUAAUCAAAUGGUUUCUAACUAUCCUACUAUUCCUGAUUCCACUUUCAGACCAUCUUAAAUUGGAAUUCUGAUGAUUUGUAGGAAAAAUACAAGGUUCUGGAGAUUAUAGAAAGAUUUUUGAAGAUACCUUGAUCAAUAG